UCCCGGAGAAUGAUUUCUGGGAUGUCGUCAGAUUCUUGGUUCUUCACUUCAACAAAUAUAUAUAUAUAUAAUAAGAUGCAGUGGUCAUGAUGGGGAAGACGGGCACAUGAAGAACUAACUCACCGCACCUAUUAAUUAAUUAACUCUCGUAUUAAUUAAUUAACUUCAGCAAGAAAUGUGUAUAUGCUAUCGGUUAGUAAUGCACGUGCCCUGCUUCUCCAUCUUGCUCAACACACACCUUCCUCGUACGACGACUACAAGCCAGUUCCCCCCCUGCAAGAAGAUAGAGAGAAUCGAAGCACAGAGAGAGAGGGGGCGGGAGGUCUUAAAAUGGUGGAUUUGAGACACCCUUCUGCAAAAUCCUGUCCUCUUUGCCCACCCAUUUAUAACCAAAGAGGCAAAUGAGAUGUGUUUCAAGGUGGGUAAUGGCGCAAGAAAUGAAGGGCUGAGUUGGGUGUGGACCCCAUGAGUUUGCAACCCAAACAGCUUGUCACAACUAGCUAUAGGGCCAUUAGGUCCACACCUCCAUCACUUUGCCCACAAAAUUACAACUAUACCCUAUCAUUAAAAUUAGAGAGAAAAAAUUAUUAUUAUUAUUUUAUUAUUAUUAUUAUUAUUUUGUAAUAAUGCUUGAAACAAUAUUUUUAAAAGAACUUUAUUUAGACCCUUCAAACUUUGAUCCGUUUGACAUAUUUUCUUGAAUUUUUUUUGCUCUCAUUUUAGUAUUCUGAAUGUCAAACUUCUCUCACCUUACUCCCUUUGUCUGAAUUCGCCAUUAAAUCUUGUUAAAAAUUUUAAAAUACUCAUGUAUUUUUUUUAAAAAAAAUAAUUAAUAAAAAAUCUAAAAAGAAGGAUAUUUUAAGAAUUUUUGCAUCCCUACGUUAGGAUUUAACGAAAAAUCCUAAUAGAAUGGGUUAAAUGAGAUAUUUUGAAAGUACGAGAUAUCAAAGUGAGAGCAAAAAAAAUUCAAGGAUAGUAUGUCAAAACAGGCCAAAUUUGGAGAGCCUAAGUAAAGUUUCUCCUUAUUUUUAUUUUACAGCUAUCAGUAUCAAUCAACCCUUGGAUAAAUUUUUGUUAAAAAAUAAAUAAUAAUUUAAGAGUUGGUUGGGACUGAUAUGUCAACAUUAGAAAAUACUUGUGAGAUAAAAAUAUGGCAUAUAG
rnacentral:precursor_RNA from 1 species